rnacentral:rRNA from 1 species
CACAACCGACUCUCGGCAACGGAUAUCUCGGCUCU